GUUUUGAAGAAUGAGUAGAAGCUCUGUGUCAGAUGAAAAAGGGAUGGGAGGCUCUCCAAGCACAGGGACCACUCACGUCAAGACAUGGGGCCAAAAGAGAGGACAUGUUUGAAGAAAAGAGAGUAACUGAAGACUAUUGUUCAAUCAGUGACAGUCUUUUUGGAGGUUAAUAUCAAAGGCAACCUGAAUUUCCUGACUUCAUGAGCUGGUGGUGAAGGGUGCCGGAUCCAGGGCAAAAAUGAAGAAAUAUGGGACCCUGGGCAACAAGGAAGAAGCUCCCAUGCAGCAUGUGGGAUGGACCCAAGGAGAAUGCCAAAGGGAAAGAGUUCAGUCUGGUGCCUCCUGAAACAGGUUAAAAUUAAGCCCGGCAGGCUCGAUGCAAACGUGCAGACAAAGCAAAGCAGGAAGCCUCCCACACUAAAAAGGGAAGAUAAGAAUCACAGAAUCCGGGAUGGUUUUUAUUGAAGGGCAUUUCAAGGCAAAUACAGACAUCUAUAGCAUAUUUGUAAAUCCUCCAAAUGUGUAUGGAAACACACACCUUCACACAUCAAAACGGAUUUGUUCCUGAGUAACAAAACGUCCUGAAAACAAAACGAAAACAAACACAAUAGCAGAAAAAUACUUCUAACGUAUACCACAAAGGAUUAUUUAAUAACCUCAACACACCAAGAGUUAAGAAAAUAAUGCAACAGAAACAAAGGGCAAAGGAUAUGUAUUGGAAAGACCACAGAGGAAGAAAUUGCAAAUCGCUAGUAAUAUAAAUUAUUUCCUAGGUUCAAUAGUGACCAAGUAAAGACAAAAUUACACUUUUGACAUCUUAGACUGGCAGUGACAAAGAUUAUUUGAGCGACCAAACUAUAGUCAGGCUCCUGAACUUUCUCGUAGGUCCAUCUGGGCACUUCCUCAUAAAAUACAGUUUUAGCAAAACCCCUGUUAAAUUGGUUUACCAAAAACUGUCACCCUCCAUCAAGUUCCUUAUUUCUUCACCUUUUCUCAGGUGAGGCCUGGCCACCCUGACCUGUGUUCAGCAAGAGUGCCCUAACCCCGACGUUUCCUCUUAGUAAUUUUCCAUCCACCAACAUCCACUUACAAUUUGUAGCCAAGGAGCAGCAUACAUCGCUCCUUGGCUGUAAAUUAUUUUCCCUGUUACAUUCAGAGUUGAGCCCAGUCUCUCUCUCCAACCGCAAAAUCCCACGGCAGUGGUUCCUAUACCUAUUGACACGGUCCUAAAUAAAACCUGCCCUACGGUGCUUUAACAAGUGUCAUUGAAUAAUUUUUUAACAGCAAAUUGUUGGAGGUAAAGACAUUUUUUAAUAUCUUCAAUUAGUUUAGCUACUUCCACAUAAUGUUAGAGUUUCCAUCAAUUUGCUAGUUACUGUCCCUUCCUAAGAAGAGGCAGACACCAUAGCCUGCAUCAUACUGUGGAUUCACUCCUAAGUUGAUAUUGAUACGAAUGAAAUAGUUAAUCUC